UACGUAGGGUGCGAGCGUUGUCCGGAAUUAUUGGGCGUAAAGGGCUCGUAGGCGGUUUGUCGCGUCGGGAGUGAAAACCUCGGGCUUAACUCGGGGCUUGCUUUCGAUACGGGCAGACUAGAGGUAUGCAGGGGAGAACGGAAUUCCUGGUGUAGCGGUGAAAUGCGCAGAUAUCAGGAGGAACACCGGUGGCGAAGGCGGUUCUCUGGGCAUGAUCUGACGCGAGGAGCGAAAGUGUGGGGAGCGAACAGG
rnacentral:rRNA from 1 species